rnacentral:lncRNA from 1 species
UCGGUCUCCUGACCUCGUGAUCCGCCCGCCUCGGCCUCCCAAACGUACCAUUCCUUUCUUGUGGAGGCACCAAGAAGUAGAAAAUGUGAGAGUUCCCGACUUCAGGAAGAAUCUAGACCAAUGGUAGAGAUCAGCCUCAUGGAGAGAGGUGCUGACGCCAUUUGGAAGAAUAAUAUCCUGAGGUGCAGAGAUGUAAGAGAACUUCCCAAGAUCAUACAGUGAUUAGAUGUGGGGCGGGACAGAGGCUCCACUCAGGUCUGCACUGCUACAAAGCUGUACCCUCUGGGCUGAUGGCAUGGCUCAGUGAAGGAGCUCUCUCUGUUCCCAAGGCAGAGGCUCUAACUGUCUUCACCUGGGUUCAAGGCGCUGGGAGGAAAAUGAACAUCUGUUGUGUACCCCCCAUACACCAGACACACUGCUAGGCUAUGCUAAUUUAUGAAAUCUUCCCAACAACCCAGAAAAGAAUGCACCAUUAUUUUCACCACUCACAGAUGGAAAACAGGCUUGGAGAGGGAAGAUGACUUGCUUCAGGUCCUCACCAUAGAUGCUUGGAUGUCUUUCUGUUUUCAGAAGCCUCAUGUCCUAUUACUUCUCUGAGUAGCACAGAGCCGAGGGAAUUUUGCUACAGAUCAAGUGCAGGGAGGUAUUUGGGGAAAAUAGCUUAUUGUGACAUUGCCUGAGCACUUG